CAAAACAUAGCUAUUUGGACAGGAUCCAAAAUUAAACCCUUAGGAAGCGAUGAGAAAAGCAGCCAGCUGUUGUCUGCAUAACUGUGGUUAACCUCUCAGCCACGCCUCUUUGGGCAUUCCUCUCCAGAGAAGCAGAAAAACAUGAGACCAGCCUUGCUUCCCACACAGCUGUGUCCAGGCCUGUUACAUUUGAUAGGAGGGCUCGUCUGCAGCAUUACUGCCUUCUCAGCUAAAGAUGAUG
rnacentral:lncRNA from 1 species